rnacentral:rRNA from 1 species
ACGUGAGAGAAUGGUUACCGCGGCUGCUGGCACGGAGUUAGCCGGUGCUUCUUCUGUGAGUGAUGUCCUUCCUGCCGGCUAUUAACCCGCAGGCCUUCUUCCUCACUGAAAGUGCUUUACAACCCGAAGGCCUUCUUCACACACGCGGCAUGGCUGGAUCAGGGUUGCCCCCAUUGUCCAAUAUUCCCCACUGCUGCCUCCCGUAGGAGUCUGGGCCGUGUCUCAGUCCCAGUGUGGCUGAUCAUCCUCUCAGACCAGCUACGGAUCGUCGCCUUGGUGAGCCGUUACCUCACCAACCAGCUAAUCCGACAUAGGCUCAUCCGAUAGCGCGAGGCCCGAAGGUCCCCCGCUUUCCCCCGUAGGGCGUAUGCGGUAUUAGCCUGGGUUUCCCCAGGUUAUCCCCACUACCGGGCAGAUUCCUAUGCAUUACUCACCCGUCCGCCGCUCGCCACCAGGGAGCAAGCUCCCCGUGCUGCCGCUCGACUUGCAUGUGUUAGGCCUGCCGCCAGCGUUCAAU